rnacentral:rRNA from 1 species
GACGAACGCUGGCGGCGUGCUUAACACAUGCAAGUCGAACGGAAAGGCCCUGCUUUUGUGGGGUGCUCGAGUGGCGAACGGGUGAGUAACACGUGAGUAACCUGCCCUUGACUUUGGGAUAACUUCAGGAAACUGGGGCUAAUACCGGAUAGGAGCUCCUGCUGCAUGGUGGGGGUUGGAAAGUUUCGGCGGUUGGGGAUGGACUCGCGGCUUAUCAGCUUGUUGGUGGGGUAGUGGCUUACCAAGGCUUUGACGGGUAGCCGGCCUGAGAGGGUGACCGGCCACAUUGGGACUGAGAUACGGCCCAGACUCCUACGGGAGGCAGCAGUGGGGAAUAUUGCAAAAUGGGCGGAAGCGUGAUGCAGCAACGCCGCGUGCGGGAUGACGGCCUUCGGGUUGUAAACCGCUUUCGCCUGUGACGAAGCGUGAGUGACGGUAAUGGGUAAAGAAGCACCGGCCAAAUACG